AUUCUUCUUCUUCUUGUUCUUUCUUCUCUUCUUUCUCUUCAU
rnacentral:sRNA from 1 species